rnacentral:rRNA from 1 species
AGUGAACGCUGGCGGUAGGCCUAACACAUGCAAGUCGAACGGCAGCACAGUAAGCGCUUGCUCUUACGGGUGGCGAGUGGCGGACGGGUGAGGAAUACAUCGGAAUCUACUUUUUCGUGGGUGACAACGUAGGGACACUUACGCUAAUACCGCAUACGACCUACGGGUUAAAGCAGUGGAUCUUCGGACCUUUCGCGAUUGAAUGAGCCGAUGUCGGAUUAGCUAGUUGGCGGGGUAAAGGCCCACCAAGGCGACGAUCCGUAGCUGGUCUGAGAGGAUGAUCAGCCACACUGGAACUGAGACACGGUCCAGACUCCUACGGGAGGCAGCAGUGGGGAAUAUUGGACAAUGGGCGAAAGCCUGAUGCAGCAAUACCGCGUGGGUGAAGAAGGCCUUCGGGUUGUAAAGCCCUUUUGUUGGGAAAGAAAAGAAGCAGGUUAAUACCCCGAUGUUCUGACGGUACCCAAAGAAUAAGCACCGGCUAACUUCGUG